UUAAAGAAAAACCCUUGAUGAAUGAAAAUCUAAUCGUCCGAACUCAAUUUCAACUUCGAAAACGUGAUUUACAAAGUUUGAUCUACGUUUUCACCGAUCGUUUUGAGGUAAUGUGUUACUUGAAACUUGCUUGAGGCUACCCAAAUCAUGGGUUUUGAUUUGGUGAAAUUUUGUGAUACAUUGCAAGGUGGUGUCUAGGAGACCUAGUGCUUAAUAUCCGCGUAGCCAAGACGUUUAUACUUUGGUUGCAGGUUUUGCGAAUUUAGAUAUUGACUCAUCCACUUAGCGUAUGGGAUGUUAUGAUUGGAGCAUAUCGCAACAAUCAUAAGUCACGGACUCAUGGAUAGUCCAUAUUUUGGGUAUUUCA